rfam:Trichuris suis scaffold137.5, whole genome shotgun sequence.
GGCAAGAUGGCCAAGCGUUCCAAGGCGCUGCGUUCAGGUCGCAGUCCAUUUUCUGUGGUCGUGGGUUCGAAUCCCACUCUUGCCA